UUAGUUUAUUGUGUUAAGGUUCAACAACGUGUAUAUCGAAGAGUUUGGUAAGGAUGUAUUCCGAUAUUUACUUGGUGGAGCAGCUGAUCUAGAAUCUAUUAAUAUUUCUCUUCAUUCAGCUGGAUACUUCUUCUCAGAUUUCCUUCUGGAUGAUAUAUUGUUGGUCAAUAACCUUUCACAUCUUCAAGAAUUCAUCCUUAGAGACGGAGCCCUUACUCUAAUAUCUGCCCUCAGGUUGAUAUCAUCCCGGCCUAAACUGCGAACUAUUGGAGAACUACUCCACUGGGAUGUAGAGAAAAGUGAACUUGAUACUUUUAUCCAGAUACUUAGAAGAGCUAGGAGCCUUAACCUUCUUCAGGAUAUUCAUAUCUUCUAAGAGGAUAUCCAUAUUUUCUACGAGGCAUCAUAUCUUCUAAGUAGAUAUUUAUAAUUUCUGGAAAAAAUCGUUUUGGAUAUCCAUAUCAUCUGUGAGAAUUCUAAGAGGCUAUGUUUAUAUCCUAGAAAAUAUACAUAUCUUCUGGUAGAAUGAUAUUCUAUAAAUGUCUUCAUAGAAGGAUACACAUAUCUUCCAGGAGAAUAUCCAUUAUCCAUAUACUCCAGGAGAAUAUCCAUUAUCCAUAUACUCCAGGAUAAUAUCCAUUAUACAUAUACUCCAGGAGAAUAUCCAUUAUCCAUAUACUCCAGGAUAAUAUCCAUUAUCCAUAUACUCCAGGAGGAUAUCCAUUAUCUAUAUACUCUAGGAGGAUAUCCAUUAUCCAU